UUUGAUAGUCCCCUACGUCCACUAUCCGCCCGGGUACUACGAGCACUAGCUUAAAACCCAAAGGACUUGGCGGUGCUUUAGAUCCACCUAGAGGAGCCUGUUCUAGAACCGAUAACCCCCGUUAAACCUCACCCUCUCUUGUUCUUUCCGCCUAUAUACCGCCGUCGUCAGCCUACCCUGUGAAGGAAUCACAGUAAGCAAAACUAGCAUAGCUCAAAACGCCAGGUCGAGGUGUAGCGUAUGAGAGGGGAAGAAAUGGGCUACAUUCCCUGUCACAGAGAAUACGAACAAUGCAAUGAAAUUUGCAUUAUGAAGGAGGAUUUAGCAGUAAGCAGAAAAUAGAGCG
rnacentral:rRNA from 1 species